GAGUGCCGGAAAUUUUUCCACUUCACACAUUUAAGAUCACGUGACCAUUUGAGUGUUUAUCAACAGCCAACAUUAUUUUUGGAGGGAAAGUCGUACCGAGAAGAUGGAAGGACUGGUGUUCCCUGAUAGGAAAAUCUACAGUACUUGGAAGUUGCCAGGUUCUUCUAAUUGUAUAAUAGAAUUAUAAUAAUAUAUUCCAAUAUUUUGUGUCUGGAGACCCCUUUGAAUAGAAGAGGUUGGAGGGUCCUGAUUGUGGUGGAUAGACGAAGAUGUGGAUGGCUGUGUAACAUUGGCAAAGUCUAUGUGUUGGAAUGUGGCAUGAUGGAGCUAUUGACCAUGGAGUUGCAUCAAAUGUGAUGAUGGAUGUGAUCUUGCAGACCAUGGAGUUGCAUCAAAUGUGAUGAUGAAUGUGCUCUUGCAGACCAUGGAGUUGCAUCAAAUAUGAUGAUGGAUGUGAUCUUGCAGACCAUGGAGUUGCACCAAAUAUGAUGAUGGCUGUGUAUGUGUUGGAAUGAGGCAUGAUGGAGC